rnacentral:rRNA from 1 species
AUGGCGGAGAUCGCCGGCGACGAGACCCCACCGCUACCUUCGUCUUCCGGCGCCGAGGAAUCCUCUCUCCUCUCGUCCCCUCCCUCGCCCACCGCCACCAGCGGGGACGAGCCGCCGCCGCGCACGAGGAAGCCCGGCACGAAGCGUCUCGUCCUCACCGCCUCGGUCCUCCUCUCCUUCCUCGUCGGACUGCCCUUGCUGCUCAAAUCCACCGAGAUCCACCGGUCGCCGCUGCCCUCCGAUGCAAUCGCCGACCUGUCCCGCCGCCUCCAGUCGCACCCUCCCUCCUUCCCCUGCGGUCUCCACGCGGUCUUCCUCCGCUCCGGCCCUGGCUCCCCCGUCGCCUCCCUUGCCGAUCAGCUCGAGCGGGCAAUCUCGACCCAGCACCACCUCCUUCCCGCGUCUUCUACUGCCGGGAACAUCUCCGUGUCAGUCACCGUCCAGUCGGACGGUGGCUGCACCAGCAGCGCGGCUGCCGCUUCGCCUUGGCGAUGCGGCUUGGUGAGCGCUGCAGACUCGUUCCAUGAUGAUGAGGUGUUCGAUGAAUUGCUGCACUCUGCAUUGGGUGGUGGUGAUGGGGAUGGGAUGAAGGUUUACACUAUUGUCAUUGCUGAGGAUGAUGAUGGAAAGGGGACGAGGGUUGUGAUUGGAAAGCACCGUCAUGCUUGGGUUGUUGGGAAGGUCGAUGAGGCCGAGGCUGUGUCACUUAUUAGCAAGGUGUUCAUCAAGUAUUUCAUGAAUGGUGGUAUUGAAGAGGGUGAGACAGGCAUUGGGAAAGGCGAGUUCAUGCCAGUUGGUUCAGAUGGGAAUGUUGUUCUUUCAUUCAGCUUGUUGAAUGCUGAUCCAAAUGAUUGGGUCUAUGAUUGGGAGUUCAAAAAUAUUGGCGAGAGAAUCCUUACUCCUGUGGUCGAGGCCCUGCAACCAGUUGCUGAUAUCAAUAUAGAGAGUCAGGUUCUCUACCACACUCCGAAGUCGUCCUAUUCUUAUUCUGACGAUAAAUUGGGGGGCAAUGUCCUUAGUAUGGGAGACAUUCCUUUCUUUGUAAACUCAAAUGAGUGGCACUUGGAUACAUCGAUUUCAGCUACAGGACGAUCAAAAGUUCUUCAGUUUGUGGUAAAAAUACAAGUAGGACAAUGCUGGCUUGCUACUCUGAAUUUGCUUCAUUUUGUGAUCAUACUCACUUUUCAUCUGCCAAACUGCUGGUAUAUUCCAUCUGCAAGGGAAUGCCCUUUGUAUUUGCAGCUUCCAGAUGGGGAGCUUUCGAAAACUAAUGCAUUUAUUUCCCCAAUGUGGGGAGGUGUUGUUAUUUGGAACCCACCAGGCUGUUCACUUGGUUCAAAGAAGGCGCAUGGGACUCAGAGACAAAUGUCAUCACAGGAACUUAUGGAGACUCUGGAAAUCUUCAUUGGGCAGCUAAGACAGUUAUUUGGUCUAAAACCAAACUAUCAUGCACAAGGCAUGGAUGUGGCAACUAAAUUCCUAGUUAGUGAAAAGGGGUUUGCGCAAUGGGAAUUGGAUUUACUAUACAGACAUCAUGCAUGUUCCAACCUUUUGUCAUGUGUCGCCACCUUGGAAUCUCUUUCCAGCUUGGUCCAAUCGCUCCCAAGAAUGAUUGUUAUGGAUGAAAUUGGGAGGCAGGUAGAGCUUUCACUUGAAGCCGCAAGCUUAGCUCAAAGGAACGCCACUCUUGGAAUAGGUGACUCUUCUGCAGUGUCUGCAACGAGAGCAAGGGCUUUGGCUGAGGACGCAUUUUUCCAUCCGUCCAUUAUGUCAAUCAGUUAUGCUUCCGUGGAGCACUACUUCGCCAUUUACAUGCCAUUCUUUGCGCCAGUGUGCUUGCAUGUGCUGCUGGCGGCGAUCAAAGAGCUGAAACGCUACAAGGUGGAGCGGGCCAAGUACUCGGCGUUCCUCGCCUCCCAGUCCCAGGCGACGACCUCCUGA